AAAGGUGGGCAGGCGUUAUCCGGAUUUAUUGGGCGUUCAGCGUGCGCAAACGGUUUAGCAAGUUUGGCGUUAAAACCUGGAGCUCAACUCCAGGUCGCCUUGAAAACUGUUAGGCUAGAGUGUAGGACAGGUUGAUGGAAUUCCAUGUGUAGCGGUGAAAUGCGUAGAUAUAUGGAGGAACACAAGUGGCGACACCAACCACCA
rnacentral:rRNA from 1 species